ensembl:lncRNA
CCUUGCACUGCAUUCUGAUGAAAGAUCAUCAAAGGUAAGGGAAUAUUUAUGAUGUAAUUUCGUAUUUCUGUUGACUCCAACAUGGGGGAGAAAUAUAUUUACAUCUUAGUGCCGUUUUAGAUUAUUGCAUGGUGUGCUUUUUUCGUUUAAAAAAAAUUGAAAAUAAAAAAAUAAAAACCUGCAGACAUCAGGCCCUCCAUGGAAUGAGUUUGAUACCACUGUGCUGGAGGCCCUCAUCCACCUCUUCUAAAAAAUGAUAAGACCUGGACCCCCCCCCAUAUCACACCCAGACAAUACACUCAAUACAGUCCAGAUGGCUGUUCAUUGUUGCCUCCCCACUAGGGAAUCAAUCUAUAGAUGGCACAAGGUAUGUACAGAGACUUGACCACAUGGAUGCACUCACACUGAACACACCUACCAACUGUUUGUGAUUGCCAGGUGGGUCUGGGCCCUGUUUGUUCCCUCUGUCCUCCAGCAUCAAGCCUUGACGUCACAUCGCUCCUUCUCCAGCACCAGCCCAGGCAGAUGGACCUAACCUCCACCACCCUGCUCCCUCUCCAUCCCAUUCCCCCUUCCUCCCUCUACAACUAUCCCUCUCACAGAACCAGAACCAGGAAUCAUUCAUCACCACACCAGAAGAGAUGUGGAGAAAGGAUCAAAGAUCUAGACUUACACCAGGAGUGCGCAGGCCCAGGGGAUUACCAUCACUGACCUCCAGAUUUUGGGCUUCCAGGUGUGUCUGCUCUCUCCCCAGGUCGUCUUUCCUCCCCGCUGCAGAUUUAACAACAGCCCCAGUUCCAGGACCGGACCCAGUUCCAACACCAGACCCAAUCACAGCACCAGAACACCGGAUGAGGUGUGGAAAGGAGGGACCAACGACCUUCACCCGGAUCCCAGCACGACUUCCAGUCCCUUACCCAACAUCUGGACCAACCCAGGUUUUCCUGGUCCAAGUAUUGGAAGUCCAGCACCAAACCUGGACAUUUUUUAUUUAUUUUUAUUUAUACUGAUCAUAAGUAUAAACACAACAUGCAACAAUUUCAAAGAUUUUACAGAGUUUUAGAAAUCUGUCAAAUGACAAUAAUUAAUUGAGCCCUAACCUAUGAAUUUUAGAUGACUGAGCGGGGGCGCUGCCAUGGGUGGAUCUUGGAGCGCAUAGACCCACCCACUUGGCAGUCAGGCCCAGCCAAUCAGAAUUAGUUUUUCCCAAAAAGAGGGCUAUAUUACAGACAGAAAUUCUCAGCACAACCCCCAACCCCCCCUCAGAUGCACGUGAAGAAGACUACUGCCAAUUUUAUUUAAAUGAAGUUGAAGGCAGAUUAUGGUAGACAAAUUAACAUUCAAUAAUCUGGCAACAGCUCUGGUGGACAUUCCUGCAGUCAGCAUGCCAAUUGCACACACCCUCAAAACUUCAGACAUCUGUGGCAUUGUAUUGAGUGACAAAACUGCACAUUGUAAAAUGGCCUUUUAUUGUCCCAAGCACAAGGUGCACCUGUGUAAUGAUGAUGCUGUUUAAUUCUUGAUAUGCCACACCUGUCAAGUGGAUGGAUUAUCUUGGCAUAGAAUACAUGCUUACUAACAGGGAUGUAAUCAAAUCUUUGCACACAAUUUGGGAGAAGUACGCUUUAUGUGCAUAUGGAACAUUUCUGGGAUUUUUUUAUAUCAGCUCAUGAAACAUGGGGCCAACACUUUACAUGUUGCGUUUAUAUUUUUGUUCAGUGUAGUAACCAUUUCAUUAGCCUAAAUUGGAAUGGUCUUAUUAUGAAUUUUACCUUAAUGAUAUAUUGAAUGUUGUGAAUUUCUUUUAAACUGUUUUAACUUUGGAAUUUUGGAAAAAACAAAUAUAUUAACAUAAACUAAAGUCAUGAAAAUAAAUUACAUGUCUCACAUGUAACCCUAAUACACUGGCCUGCU